GACGAACGCUGGCGGCGUGCUUAACACAUGCAAGUCGAGCGGUAAGGCCCUUUCGGGGGUACACGAGCGGCGAACGGGUGAGUAACACGUGGGUGACCUGCCCUCAGCUCUGGGAUAAGCCUGGGAAACCGGGUCUAAUACCGGAUAUGACUCCAUGACGCAUGUUGUGGGGUGGAAAGCCUUGUGCGGCUGAGGAUGGGCCCGCGGCCUAUCAGCUUGUUGGUGGGGGAUGGCCUACCAAGGCGACGACGGGUAGCCGGCCUGAGAGGGCGACGGCCACACUGGGACUGAGACACGGCCCAGACUCCUACGGGAGGCAGCAGUGGGGAAUCUUGCGCAAUGGGCGAAAGCCUGACGCAGCGACGCCGCGUGAGGGAUGACGGCCUGGUGU
rnacentral:rRNA from 1 species